rnacentral:lncRNA from 1 species
UCUUCCCUCACACUCAAUGUGAUUAAUUUAUUUGCUCUACAUGGUCAUUUGAGCAUUACCCCCGACAUUUUUUUCUGCCUUUUCUGCCAUGAUGACUGUCCAGCAUGGAGAAGCAUUGUGUCCAGUUGCCACUGAAUUUCCAUUAGAUGGGGCCACUCAUCCUGAACUACAAGUGGCACUGAAUUCUAAGCAGCUUCCUGUGUAAAGGCCAGAUCUUGGAACUGGAAGUUAGGACUGAGCCACCAAUCAUGAACGGAAUGACCACUGGGACUGCACAGAAAUAUAUUAAUAUGUCAGCCAAACCCAAGAUUCAGAGGCUGAGCAGGGAUACGCAAGACAUUGCUUUGA